CGGAAGGUCCGGGCGUUAUCCGGAUUUAUUGGGGUUUAAAGGGAGCGUAGGCCGCGUUUUAAGCGUGUUGUGAAAUGUAGACGCCCAACGUCUGCAUCGCAGCGCGAACUGGGACGCUUGAGUACGCGCAACGUUGGCGGAAUUCGUCGUGUAGCGGUGAAAUGCUUAGAUAUGACGAGGAACUCCGAUUGCGAAGGCAGCUGACGGGAGCGGCACUGACGCUUAAGCUCGAAGGUGCGGGUAUCAAACAGGAUU
rnacentral:rRNA from 1 species